AAUACCAAAUCCUAUAUUCUUCAAUCCUUCCUGGGAUGGAUCAGAAGGUGAAAGUACGGAUGGAGCCUGAUGAGGGGGGUGCAUUGGUCCUUGAUUCUUCUCACCAGUGUCAACAGUAGCAUGACUAUAAUGUGAAGAGCUAAAAGCUUGGAUCGGGCGCUGAGAUGUCAAAGAAUGGGUUCGGACUGAUGCACGUCGGGAUGGAGGGCCAAGUU
rnacentral:misc_RNA from 1 species